rnacentral:rRNA from 1 species
UACCAGACUCCUACGGGAGGCAGCAGUGGGGAAUAUUGCACAAUGGGCGAAAGCCUGAUGCAGCAACGCCGCGUGAAGGAAGAAGGGUUUCGGCUCGUAAACUUCUAUCAACAGGGACGAAAGAAAUGACGGUACCUGAAUAAGAAGCCCCGGCUAACUACGUGCCAGCAGCCGCGGUAAUACGUAGGGGGCACGCGUUAUCCGGAUUUACUGGGUGUAAAGGGAGCGUAGGUGGCAUGGUAAGCCAGAAGUGAAAACCCGGGGCUCAACCCCGCGGAUUGCUUUUGGAACUAUCAGGCUGGAGUGCUGGAGGGGUAAGCGGAAUUCCUAGUGUAGCGGUGAAAUGCGUAGAUAUUAGGAGGAACACCGGUGGCGAAGGCGGCUUACUGGACAGAAACUGACACUGAGGCUCGAAAGCGUGGGGAGCAAACAGGAUUAGAUACCCUCGUAU